rnacentral:rRNA from 1 species
GUUGGAAACGACUGUUAAUACCGCAUAAUAUCUGUGGAUUAAUGGUGGCGUUCGGGCGGUCGCAGAUGGAUGAGCCUGCGUUGGAUUAGCUAGUUGGUGGGGUAAGGGCCCACCAAGGCUACGAUCCAUAGCGGAUUUGAGAGGAUGAUCAGCCACAUUGGGACUGAGACACGGCCCAAACUCCUACGGGAGGCAGCAGUGGGGACUCUUGGACAAGGGGGGCACCCCUGAUCCAGCAAUGCCUGGUGUG